ACAUGUUUUUGAUUUUAUGUAAUGUAAUGAAAAUCUUAUUUGUAAAUUAUUGGUUACAAUGUUUAACAAUAGGAAAUAUUCAAGAAUAAAUAAAAUAAAAGUUUAAUCCUAACAACACAAAACAUUCCAGGAAUAUAGGUACUACCGUUCUAUUCCGUGAACAUCUAUCUGAUUAAAUUAUGGGUGGAAAGUUACCACAAGAUAUUCUAUGAACAUAGUACAAUGUCUUCCUGGAGGGGUAAAAUUUUCCAUUACAAGAUUUUAAGAGAGGCCAUUUACUGUUCAAUUUGCGUUCAUUUUCAAAUUUGCCACGCGAGUAUCUAUGUAGCGUCGCGUGGUCAUUGGUCAUCACAUAUCACAUUUCAUUUUCAUAAGAUAACCGAUAACCUAAAAAUUUAGUAAAAAUUUUGAUUGGAAAAAAAUGCAUCGAUAAGGGGGUGUGGGAAAUGGAAAUUAGUGGCUUUUCUGCUGUACUGUCUGCUAGUCAAAUCACACAACACUUUUUUCUAUGCUGCUAGUUUUUGCUCUGGGCUCUGGCUGGAUCUCUUGUUUAAACAAUUUUAAUCAGCUGAAAGUGGCCUACAAAAAAAAACAAGAAGGAAAUGUAUAGCCUUGUGGCUAUGAAAGGCAAAAGAGAGAUAUAAAAAGUGUAUUGGCUAGUUGGAAGAAAGUCCACAUUGUCCAUGCAUAAUAAGUUAUUACUUUAUCAACAAAUAUCAAGAAGAUAGCAGGGUCACGAGCAACAACUUCAUAAGUUCAAGAAUAUCGAGGAAAUCCAGCUCCUCGAUACUACUGCGCAAACUAGAAGAUUGAAGAGGACAAAGCCUUUUGAACUAGUUUGAGUGAUAGGUGAUGUGUGCUGUGCCUGUGUAUGUUAGAAUAGUGCACCAUCUUGUUAGAUUAGAUAAGAGACGCUAUGGGGUAAGCUCUUCAUUUUAAGAAACAGUAGUAAUUUAGGUUAAAUUAAAAUUGCUCAUUGGUCAGUUAUGACCAGAUUGUUUUUUUAUGUUUGGCAAAAAGGACUUAAGUCAGAAUUGCACAUUGAUAAUGUUUUGAUGAUUUCUGGACCAGAAAAAAACUGUUGUAGAUGUAAACUGUAUGCACAGUAGAAUCUACUACAGUACUGUAGAAAUCAUCAAAACAUUAUCGAUGUGCAAUUCUGACUUAAGCCCUUUUUCCCAAACAUCAGAGAAUUGUAAUGUACAAUAAUUCUCCUAUCUGCUUUUUCAUGAAUUUUGUAGGAGAUGAAAAACCAUUUUUAUGAUCGUCUGCUUUCACAUGUAAAUUUUGACAUGUUUUGUAGUAAAUAGAUAGUUGAAUUUACUACAAAACAUGUCAAAAAAUAUAUGAAAACAGGAGGUGACUAUAAAAAAAGUUUUUAGUCUCUCUUACAAAACUCAUGAAAAAACAAAUCGGAGGUAUGUCACAUCAGUGACUAUAUCCAGGGAAUGUCUAAAAAAUAUACUUUGAUGUCCCAAGAACCAAAUAUAACCUACAGUCCAUCUAAUUUACUUACUGUUGCAGGUCAUUAUCUAUGCCAGAGAUCUAAGUUGACAUAGUUGCCAAAGUAUAAAAAGAUCCUGAAUCCAUUUUAAAUCAAAUAUAUCACAUAAUUAUUGUAAACGUGGAUUAUACAACAAAACAAAUUAAUAUUCAAUGUAAAUAAGUAAAAACUUAAGAAAUAGAGAACAAGAAUUAAGUUAUAAUCUUUUAAGAUUUGCAGUGCAAGAGUUUUUGCACUGCAUUGUUAAUAAUUAAAAAACGGCUCCGAACUCUUGGCAAAAAGCUGGUAGGUUUCUUUGUAUAAAAUGUCUACAAUAACAACUAAAAAAGUUGUCAGAUACCUCGAUUAUUCCAAGUCGUUAUAAAAUUAGGUGAAAUUUAUAUUUUUAUACUAGAGGAUCUUUUUAUAGUAAAGUAAAUAAUAAAAACAGUAAAUAUAAUAAAUAAAACAGAUACUUAUAGUAAAGAAUAUAAACAAAUAUGAAGUGUCAUCACCGUAACUGUCAAAUAAAUGUUACCAAUUUAUUCUAAAAUGUCACCUUCGUUCGAUUACAGUUACAGUGUGAUCCAAACAAAUCUGCUUCAUAAAAACGCUUUAUAAUCCAUUUAUACAAAUUAAAUGAAACAUAUUAUUGUGUAUUUCUUUAGGUUAACAUUAAUAGAAAUCUUCAAAUAUUAUUUCUACGCGUAUAUAAUAAAAUAUGUCUAGUGGCUGUAAUUCCAUUGUACUCGGCAAA